rnacentral:rRNA from 1 species
GACGUAGGGCGCGAGCGUUGUCCGGAUUUAUUGGGCGUAAAGAGCUCGUAGGCGGCUUGUCGCGUCGUCCGUGAAAACCAGGGGCUCAACCCCUGGCUUGCGGUCGAUACGGGCAGGCUAGAGUUCGGUAGGGGAGACUGGAAUUCCUGGUGUAGCGGUGAAAUGCGCAGAUAUCAGGAGGAACACCGGGUGGCGAAAGGCGGGUCU